UGGAAAAGGAACUAUUGUGAGAGU
rnacentral:piRNA from 1 species